AAUAGAUACCCGGGUAGUCCACGCUGUAAACGAUGAGUGCUAAGUGUUAGAGGGUUUCCGCCCUUUAGUGCUGCAGCUAACGCAUUAAGCACUCCGCCUGGGGAGUACGGCCGCAAGGCUGAAACUCAAAGGAAUUGACGGGGGCCCGCACAAGCGGUGGAGCAUGUGGUUUAAUUCGAAGCAACGCGAAGAACCUUACCAGGUCUUGACAUCCCCUUGACCUCUCUAGAGAUAGAGAUUUCCCUUCGGGGACAAGGGUGACAGGUGGUGCAUGGUUGUCGUCAGCUCGUGUCGUGAGAUGUUGGGUUAAGUCCCGCAACGAGCGCAACCCUUGAGAUUAGUUGCCAGCAUUUAGUUGGGCACUCUAAUCUGACUGCCGGUGACAAACCGGAGGAAGGUGGGGAUGACGUCAAAUCAGCAUGCCCCUUAUGACCUGGGCUACACACGUGCUACAAUGGAUGGUACAAAGGGCAGCGAAGCCGCGAGGCUUAGCCAAUCCCAUAAAACCAUUCUCAGUUCGGAUUGCG
rnacentral:rRNA from 1 species